GAGCGCGUAGCUCAGUUGGUAGAGCAACGGACUUUUAAUCCGUAGGUCCCGGGUUCAAGUCCCGGCGCGCUCA
rnacentral:tRNA from 1 species